UGUGUAGGCGGUUCUUUAAGUUUGGUGUGAAAUCUCCCGGCUCAACCGGGAGGGUGCGCCGAAUACUGAGGGACUAGAGUGUGGGAGAGGAAAGUGGAAUUCCUGGUGUAGCGGUGAAAUGCGUAGAUAUCAGGAGGAACACCGGUGGUGUAGACGGCUUUCUGGACCAUAACUGACGCUGAGACACGAAAGCGUGGGUAGCAAACAGGAUUAGAUACCCUGGUAGUCCACGCCCUAAACGAUGCAUAUUUGGUGUGGGUCAUUCAGUUGAUCCGUGCCGGGGCUAACGCGUUAAAUAUGCCGCCUGGGGAGUACAGUCGCAAGGCUGAA
rnacentral:rRNA from 1 species